rnacentral:lncRNA from 1 species
GGCCCCCGGGGCCCGCCGCGCUGAGGGCGCCCCGGCGCCGGGCAUGGGGGCUGGGCGGCCCGGCGGCGCCCCCCGCCCCGGGCCCCGCCGCGCGCCCGCCGCCGCCACCUGGCCUUGACCUUCAGGGACGGACCGGGGAGAGCGGGGCCCAAGAAGCUCCGGUUGCCGUGCAGACAUCCGUUCACGUGUCCUCCAGGUACAAGCCAAGGCGUCGGGAGAGCGUCUCCUGCGUGGGCCAGUGGCCUGAUGAGACUCCCAUGCGGAGGGUCCGGUCCCCAGAGGUCAGCGUCCAGCCAGACCCCGGAGACCGGCCGACAGGCAUGUCAUCCCAGCUGCACUGUGGGGGCCCAGGGGGUUGACCACCUAUGAGGAUUAAGGCCAUUCCCCAUCCCUCAUCUUGCCAAGCCAUCACCAGGCGGUAAGGACUCCUGGGCAGUGUCACCUCCGGGGCCAUGCUGGCAUCUGUCACCUCCAUACCUCCCUGGGGUCCCAUCCCAGCCAUUUCUGCCCGCCCGCCUGGCUCGGUCUCUCCCGAGGUCACCGUCCGACUUCCCCAAGUGCAUACUGUGACUCCCAGGGGGUCGAGGACCCAGCAGGGCUCCCCAGUGGUUCCCGGCUAGAGGACGCCACCUUCAGAUGACAGCAUCCUUAAGGCAGGUGCACCUGCGGCCUGACCCUCUGAACUCUCCGAUGCAAACCCCAGUGCCCAUCAAACUGACACAGCCACGCCCAGUGCUUUCCGGCUUCCUCCCGCGAGCAGACUGACGCUCCUCGGAACACGCCCAGGGGACUCCCCACCGUCCUUGUUGGCAGCUUACCCCCCAGUCCUUUUAUCCGUCUGUGGCGGGGACAGGAGCAAAGAAGACUCCUAGGAAAUACAGAUCGGAGACCCUGCACACGGCAUCAGCGAGAUCUGGAACACUCGAGAAACCAAGCUAGUGUUAGCUCUGCGUGAACGCUCAGCCAGGCAGCGGGCACGGUCCACGCGGGGUCACGCGGGGGACCCGCCCCGCCCCGCCCCGGGCGCCAGCCGCAGAGGACUUGGGGCUGUUUGUUGGGGUUGUCGCCCUUCUGCUUGGUUUAACCGUCGAGGGGCACCCGAGGGAAGACCCAGGUGGGCCUCCGCGGCG